CAAAACCUAUUGGAAACUACAUGCCAAGACGGAAAAAAAAUAUAUGUGAAGAAACUCAAAUAGUGCACUUUCUUAAAAAAGAAAAAACAAAUAGGAAGAGAUGAUGCUGUUCCCAAUUUUAUCUCCAUUGAAGGCCAACUGAAGCCUCUCCUUUCAAUGGCUGCCACUCUCUCAGUCUCCCUGUCCUUGGAUCCAAAACACAACAACUGGUGCUACCUCUAUCCCAACACCACCCACUUCAAACCCCACCAAGCUCUUCCCGUCUAUCUGCACAAGCCUGACCGUCACACCUUCAAAUCCUUCUUUUCCCAUUCCCAUUCCCACUCUUCCUCUUCUCCUUCUCCAACAGUACCAAAUUCAUAUCUUGAAGACCCACUUCGGACAGGGCGUUUUUUGAGCAAUCAAGAGCUUGAGAAGCUUAAAUUCCUUGAAAAUUUCGGCUACUUUCAAGAAUUGACAACUGGGUCGAUGUGGGUUCGGGUGAUGAUGCCUGAAGAGAUGGAUGGCACUGUUGGACUUCUGGCCGAGUCGUUCGUUGAGUCGAUGCUUUUGCCUGCCGGUUAUGUUUCUCUGUUGAAAUUCUUGGUGAAGCAAUACUUGGUUGAGAGGAGAGCGGUAAUGCCGCACGCCGUUACACUUAUUGGAUUUUAUAGAGGAGAAGAAGAGGAGGAAGAAUUGGCCGGGACCGUCGAGGUUUGCUUUGAUAAGAUGGGUGCUAGUACUUCUCCUCCUACACCCACUCCUCCCAAGAAUUCUCCCUAUGUCUGCAACAUGACCGUGAAAAAACAGCUUCGAAGGAGGGGGAUUGGUUGGCAUCUUCUGAAGGCAAGUGAGGAACUUAUAUCCCAGAUGAAUUCCUCAAAAGAAGUGUACUUGCACUGUAGAAUGGUUGAUGCAGCUCCAUUCAGUAUGUAUAAAAAAGCAGGAUAUGAAGUUGUCAAGACAGAUAGCAUCUUGGUCUAUUUAUUGUUGCAGAGACGUAAGCAUUUGAUGUGCAAGAAACUCCCAGUCUUAAAGAAACCUUCGGAAUUGUAUUUGUCGAACACUGAAGAGGAACGUCCUCUGUAAAUGGAAUUGCAGGAACCCUUAAUAUGUUUCUGAGCCAGCUGGCUUGUAUAUUUUCUUAUUCCAGAUCUGGACUCUCUCAGGCUAAGAUAGAGUCCAACUGGCUUGCAAUGGACGUCGAGUUACCUCAUGGGCCAGUUUCUCCUUGGUUGUAUAUUAUCAUGUCGAUAGUAGAAACAUAUUGUACUUCAGUGGUUUAUAUAUAUUAGAAGCUGGCAAAGGAAGUGGCGUUGGAUAACAACAUUUUUAAGGAGCUUACAAGAAUGCAAGAGGUCCCUGUUGAGUGUAAAAGCUUAAAGCUAACAGGUUAUUUUUCUUAUUCUUUCUGCUGCUUAGGAUGUUAAUUUAUGCAGUUCUGCUGGACCUAAACCAUGUGUGAUAUAAUUUUUUUUUUCUCCUUUGAGUAUAUUCAUGUCUAGUUCAUGUUGUUUUUCGGUGAUCUUUUGAAUGGGGCAGUACCAUUAAAACUCUUAAUUUGAUCUAUAUCAAAACUGUAGAAGCAGUCUAUACUUGGUUUUAGUAUUUGAAAUUCAUUGCAAUGCUGUCCUUGCUAAAGAUUGACUUAAGCAUAGUGCAUGUGACUGUGCUCUGCUUAACAUAGAAUACAUUACUGGAAUGCAUUCAUAGUCAUAUUUCCUCACCGCCCGAAGCUACUUGUAAUCGUAUUAUUUUAGCUGCCUAUGAUGCUUGCAUAUUCAUAUUAUCAUCAUCAACUAUUAAUGCUUGCAUAUACUUUAUGGUAUUAUUGAUUGUGAGAGAUGAGAUUUUUACCUAAUGGUGUUCAUUACUAACCCAUGAAAAAUAAGAACUUAAAAUUCACUUGAGAAUGAAAGAUGUAAGUAGACGUCUGGAUGAACUCUAAGAGU